UACGAAGGGGGCUAGCGUUGUUCGGAGUUACUGGGCGUAAAGGGUGCGUAGGCGGCUUCUUAAGUCUGGUGUGAAAUCUCCCGGCUCAACUGGGAGGGUGCGCCGGAUACUGAGGGGCUAGAGUGUGGGAGAGGAAAGUGGAAUUCCUGGUGUAGCGGUGAAAUGCGUAGAUAUCAGGAGGAACACCGGUGGUGUAAACGGCUUUCUGGACCAUAACUGACGCUGAGGCACGAAAGCGUGGGUAGCAAACAGG
rnacentral:rRNA from 1 species